GGGGGUUUGGCCCAGCGGGGGGGGCGCCUGCUUUGCACGCAGGAGGUCAGCGGUUCGAUCCCGCUAGUCUCCACCA
rnacentral:tRNA from 1 species